CUCUAAUAGUAGAGGACUUAUUCACUAAUAUAAAAUAUUUGUUAAUUAGUUGGUUGCAAUAACCAGUUAUGUCCAAGAACAAAAUUGGACAUAGGACAUUGGAAAUAGGUUUAACUGAUGUAUCUAAUUCUUACAAAAAUAAUAACAUAACAUUUUUAAUUUUUGGUUCAUUUCCCAAUUUUAUAGUUUUUUGUGAUUCCUAAACAAUUUUAAAAAGUGAAUGUAUCUGGUUACUGCACUGGUGCCUUCAAUUGACUUCAAUGAGUAUAUACCAGUAGCCUUCACAAGGGACACAAAAAGAUGGACUAGAGUCCAAUGGAAUCAAUGCUCCAAAAUCACAUAAAAUAGAUCCUUCUCAGUAAUUAAAACCAGCUACUAUAUUAUCUUGGUCUCAUGAAAGUACAAAUAAUUUUAUAACAACUGGAAAAUAUAUUCUAGGCAUAAUCAACGCACUGCAAAACAUCUUAUGUACCCACAAGAGACAGAGACAGCUGAAAAAAAACUAAUAAGACAAACAACAGAUCAUGAAGUUAUAAAUCAAGGUUUUGACAUCAGAAACAUAAUAAAUGAAUAAUCAGCAAUAUGGUUCACUCAGAGUUGCAUA